GGGGCCGGGCGGGUUUCGCCCUUGGAUGGAUCCUGCCCGCCAGGAGCUCUCCUGCCGUGCCUCGAGCUCUCCACAGGUCUCGGCAUCUCCCGCUCCCUGUGUCAGAGCUGCGAGGUGCUCGGGUGGGAGUCGGGCUGGCAUUCGUUUUGAUAAAGGCACCUUGAGAAACAUCUUGAGAAACGCAGCAAGUUGAAGCACAGGCUGGAAAAAAACACACCGUCUUUUAGGUACAGGAAGAAAAGAAUCCGUCUGUGGAACCUCCCUGUGCAAAAUGCCAAAUGUUCAGUUGGAAAGGAGACUUCUUCCCCCAGUCAGCUGCAGCAGAGGAUGCAGUGUCAGAGGUGGAGACGGCCAGAAUUAU